UACAGAGGGUGCAAGCGUUGUUCGGCAUUAUUGGGCGUAAAGCGCGUGUAGGCGGCUUUGCAAGUCGGGUGUGAAAGCCCUCAGCUUAACUGAGGAAGUGCGCCCGAAACUGCAGAGCUUGAAUACCGGAGAGGAUGGCGGAAUUCCCCAAGUAGAGGUGAAAUUCGUAGAUAUGGGGAGGAACACCGGUGGCGAAGGCGGCCAUCUGGACGGCUAUUGACGCUGAGACGCGAAAGCGUGGGGAGCAAACAGG
rnacentral:rRNA from 1 species